GACGAACGCUGGCGGCGUGCUUAACACAUGCAAGUCGAACGGAAAGGCACUGCCUUUGUGGUCUGACCGAGUGGCGAACGGGUGAGUAACACGUGAGUAACCUGCCCUAGACUUUGGGAUAACUUCAGGAAACGGGGGCUAAUACCGGAUAGGAGACCCUGCUGCAUGGUGGGGGUCGGAAAGUUUCGGCGGUCGGGGAUGGACUCGCGGCUUAUCAGCUUGUUGGUGGGGUAGUGGCUUACCAAGGCAUUGACGGGUAGCCGGCCUGAGAGGGUGACCGGCCACAUUGGGACUGAGAGACGGCCCAGACUCCUACGGGAGGCAGCAGUGGGGAAUAUUGCACAAUGGGCGGAAGCCUGAUGCAGCGACGCCGCGUGCGGGAUGACGGCCUUCGGGUUGUAAACCGCUUUCGGCUGUGACGAAGCGAUAGUGACGGUACCGGGUGAAGAAGCACCGGCUAACUACGUG
rnacentral:rRNA from 1 species